AAGUCGUAAAAAGGUUUCCGUAGGUGAACCUGCGGAAGGAUCAUUAACACGUAUCCAAACGUUAAAACAACCCUGUAAACCUUCAGCGUGUUCUUGCAGGACAUCAAAACAGCAAUCCCGAGUAAAUCAGGCGCUAAAGAAUUACAGAUUUUGAUUUUGGGAAGUUCUGUGUGUACGUGGACGCUGCAAUUGAGCGCUAGAUAAAGCACCCUGGUACCCUAGA
rnacentral:misc_RNA from 1 species